AUAUGGGCUCCCGGCUGCCGGCCGGAGGAGCGCAGGGAACUAGUCAGCUCCUGCGCGCCGCCGGCCUCCGCCGGUCUCUCCCAGGCCCCGACGCAGGGCGGGGCAGAGGAUGGAGAAGGUGGUUCUGUGACCUAGCGGGCGGGCUCCGCGGGCUCGACUCGGCUUCGCGCUCCUCCUGCGGACCCGGCACUUCCCGGCGGAAGCCGACCGGUACUCGGUUCCAGAAUGAUGCUCGGCCCAUGGACAGAGCCUGCCCAGUCACCCCCGGCUGCUAUUGAUCCCGAGGAUGGUGGCCACCCCUGGCCAUUUCCCUCCUCUCACUUCUGCUCCAGGACAACCCAAGGAGCAGAAAAGAGUGAUAAGGCCAUGAAAGGAGGCAUCUGGGGUGGAGCCGGCUCUAGGAGGUUACCCCAUGCGGAGUACACACCCAGCUACACCCGUUCCGGAGGAGGGAGGAAAGAGCACCCCUGGACUCUGCCGGUCCCAGAGGCCACGCAAACUCCGCCCAGACUCGGAGACAGCCCCUGGCACCAGGCUCUGGAGAGCCCGCUUCCUGACUCCAGCGGUGCGAAGAUGAUACAAUACUUUCGGACGCUGACAUUCAGCUGUCCCCCAAACAGCAUUGCACCCUCCAGAAAGGCUGAACUUGUUUACAGUUCCGUUAGCACUGGAUGA
rnacentral:lncRNA from 1 species